rnacentral:misc_RNA from 1 species
AAAAAAAAAAAUAAUAAAAGAGAAUUCCGAGCACUUAGAAUUCAAGUUCAUCAAUUUUCGGUUUUACAGACUGCAUCACACAAAGCUCUAUCAUGAAGGGAACAAAAUCUUCCCAAGCAACAUCACACUUUCAAUUUAGAACUGUCGGUCAACUCUGCACCCAGAAUGUACCAGACUAAUAUGUCAUUCUAUUGGACGGCCUUCAUUCAUCUCACCGUUUCUUCCAAGGAUAAAAAUGUAGCCAACGGAUCUCACAGUAAAAAAUUAACGUUGGAAUGAAAUAGAAUAGGAACCAGUGUUUGGAUCUUUAUCGGCUUUGAAGUUGUCAACACUCAUACCAAAUCGGCCAAGCAGAGAGUUUCCCAUAUCUUUCAGUUUUGCUGCUCAGAAAGUAAUUCAAAUGAAUUUAAAUAAUCA